UAAAACACUUAACACUCCGUCUUAUUGUCUAUAUCUCUGCGUGGCUUGACGGGGAUAGUUGUAACAUUUUGAUUUAAAUACAUAUAUAUAGAGAUGUAAAUGCUUCAUAUUCUCGUUGGUAAGCUAUUCUAUAGAAUUGCAGACCUGUACAUUGUAGAACGAAUAUAAAAAUGGAAAACGUAAGAUUACUGAAGUUGACGUUAUUUAUCGGUGCACUAAUAAUAGCGGAAUCUGACGCAGCGGUGUGUGGAGGUAGGAUGUAUGAUACACGGUUCGCUACAUGUUGUGGAGGCGUCAUUAAUAAUGGUAGUGGUUUAGCAUGUUGUGGAACUAGAGCGUAUGACAGUCGUUUUUCAACCUGUUGCGAGAGAGUGUUGCGUAGUGGUAGUGGAUUGGCUUGCUGUGGAACUACAGCGUAUGAUAGCCGUUUUUCAACCUGUUGCCAGAGAGUGUUGAAUAGUGGUAGUGGGUUGGCAUGCUGUGGAACAAGAGCUUACGACUCGCGAUUCCGUAAUUGUUGUAAUGGACAGCUUUGUUGAGUUGUUUAUAGUUUUGAUUUUACAUUUUUUGCUUUGUUACCUUCAAAUUUGACAUACGAAAUAAUGAAAAUUUGUGUAUUUUUAUAUAAGCCAACGUAUAUAUGAUACUAGACUCUUACCUCCAAAUUGAUUAGUAAAUUUUUAAAAGAA